rnacentral:rRNA from 1 species
GACGAACGCUGGCGGCGUGCUUAACACAUGCAAGUCGAACGGAAAGGCCCUGCUUUUGUGGGGUGCUCGAGUGGCGAACGGGUGAGUAACACGUGAGUAACCUGCCCUUGACUUUGGGAUAACUUCAGGAAACUGGGGCUAAUACCGGAUAGGAGCUCCUGCUGCAUGGUGGGGGUUGGAAAGUUUCGGCGGUUGGGGAUGGACUCGCGGCUUAUCAGCUUGUUGGUGAGGUAGUGGCUUACCAAGGCUUUGACGGGUAGCCGGCCUGAGAGGGUGACCGGCCACAUUGGGACUGCGAUACGGCCCAGACUCCUACGGGAGGCAGCAGUGGGGAGUAUUGCACAAUGGGCGGAAGCCUGAUGCAGCAACGCCGCGUGCGGGAUGACGGCCUUCGGGGUGUAAACCGAUUUCGCCUGUGACGAAGCGUGAGUGACGGUAAUGGGUAAAGAAGCACCGGCUAACUACGUG